GACGAACGCUGGCGGCGUGCUUAACACAUGCAAGUCGAGCGGCAAGGCACUGCUAUUUUGGUGUGCUCGAUGGGCGAACGGGUGAGUAACACGUGAGUAACCUGCCCUUGACUUUGGGGUAACUUCAGGAAACGGGGGCUAAUCCCGGAUAGGAGCUCCUGCUGCAUGGAGGGGGUUGGAUAGUUUCGGCGGGUGGGGAUGGACUCGCGGCUUAUCAGCUUGUUGGUGGGGUAGUGGCUUACCAAGGCAUUGACGGGUAGCCGGCCUGAGAGCGUGACCGGCCACAUUGGUACUGCGGUACGGACCAGACUCCAACGGGAGGCAGCAGUGGGGAACAUUGCACAAUGGGCGGAAGCCUGAUGCAGCAACGCCGCGGGCGUGAUGACGGCCUUCGGGUUGUAAACCGCUUUCGCCUGUGACGACGCGUGAGUGACGGUAACGGGUAAAGAAGCACCGGCUAACUACGUG
rnacentral:rRNA from 1 species